ACUCAAAUGAAUAGACGGGGGCCCGCACAAGCGGUGGAUUAUGUGGUUUAAUUCGAUGCAACGCGCAAAACCUUACCUGGGCUUGACAUCCCGCGCAUAGCCGUGAAAGCGGUGAAAUCCCUUCGGGGACGCGGUGACAGGUGCUGCAUGGCUGUCGUCAGCUCGUGUCGUGAGAUGUUGGGUUAAGUCCCGCAACGAGCGCAACCCUUGUCUUUAGUUGCCAGCAUUAAGUUGGGCACUCUAGAGAGACCGCUUGCCGAUAAGGCAGAGGAAGGUGGGGAUGACGUCAAGUCCGCAUGGCCCUUACGCCCAGGGCUACACACGUAAUACAAUGGACGGCACAGAGCGUCGCAAUACCGCAAGGUGGAGCUAAUCGCAGAAAACCGUUCUCAGUUCGGAUUGCUCUCUGCAACUCGAGAGCAUGAAGCUGGAAUCGCUAGUAAUCGCGGAUAAGUAUGCCGCGGUGAAUACGUUCCCGGGCCUUGUACACACCGCCCGU
rnacentral:rRNA from 1 species